rnacentral:rRNA from 1 species
CAGCAGCCACGGUAAUACGUAGGGUGCAAGCGUUAAUCGGAAUUACUGGGCGUAAAGCGUGCGCAGGCGGUCCGCUAAGACAGAUGUGAAAUCCCCGGGCUUAACCUGGGAACUGCAUUUGUGACUGGCGGGCUAGAGUAUGGCAGAGGGGGGUAGAAUUCCACGUGUAGCAGUGAAAUGCGUAGAGAUGUGGAGGAAUACCGAUGGCGAAGGCAGCCCCCUGGGCCAAUACUGACGCUCAUGCACGAAAGCGUGGGGAGCAAACAGGAUUAGAUACCCGCGUAGUCCCUGUCUCUUAUAC